rnacentral:rRNA from 14 species
UCAGAUCACAGUGAAGAUACCCGGUCUUGUAGGAUCUCUGAAGCUAAGCAGGGUCAGUUCUGCUCAGUAUUUGGAUGGGCGAAUACCAAGCAAGACCAGGUCCCUGAA